AGGGUGAAUCGAGGUCAGUGGGGGAACAGAAAAAGCCAAGCCCCUCCAGGGCACCUGAGAGCGAAAGAAGCCCAGAUUUUGGAGGGCACUGUCUUCUGGAGCGAUGUUAGUUCCAUAAGCUCCAGUCCUCCUCUGAGAGGGAGAUCAGGUGAUGGCAGCCAUGCUUCUGACAUCCUGGCCCCAGGGCAUGAGCCAUGGAAUUGGCCGUAGGGCAGCAGGAACCUGUUGUUUCAGAAGUCGGUGACCUUCGAGGAUGUGGCUGUGUACUUCACCCAGACGGAGUGGGAUGGCCUGUCCACUGCACAGAGGGC